CUUUGAAGUCCUGAGGUGUUCUGUGAGGAGUCCUGCUACAAUGAAGCCACCAUGCUGGAGGGAAGGAGUGAGAUGCUCCAGGAGCUCAGCUGUUUGAGUGUUCCUACUCCUGGUACCAGACUUCUGAGUGGGCGAGGCUUCAGAGGAUUCCAGCCCCCAGGCUUCAAGUCCGCCAGUUGAGGCCCUAGACGAGGUUCAUCAGAGACAAGUCACCUCCCCAUGGCCUGUGUCUAUUCCUGACCCAGGGAAUCCAUGAACAUAUCGCUCGUUCACUUAAUCCAUCUGGUUUGAAUAUCUUGGAGUUGGAAAGACUGGGAGAAGCUAGAACAGUUCAAGCUUCUUGAAAACACCCAAGUGUGAGGUGAUCUAAGGGUCUGGUGCUGUGAAUGCAGGAAUGGAAAAGACAGAUGUGGCCCCUGCUCUCAUGAAGGUUUCACUCCAGUGGAGCAGACAAAUAAACACCUUUUUAAAAUACCAUGCUGACAGUAUGGUGGUUUCUCAAAAAGUUGAACAUAGAAUGACCGUAUGAUCCAGCAAUUCCGCUUCUAGGUAUAGACCCAAAAGAAUUGAAAGCAGAGAUUCAAACAUGUUUGUGCACCCAUGUUCAUAGCAGCGUUUUUCACAAUAGCCAAAAAGUGGAAACAACGCAAAUGUCUUUUGAUGUGUG
rnacentral:lncRNA from 1 species